UUUCCGUAGGUGGACCUGCGGAAGGAUCAUUAUCAUGUAAUUCAGUCCCCUUGGCUGUGUUAUAUAUAUACCCACUCUGUGUACCUUCUCCUGUUGCUUCCGCUGGGUGUGUAAUUCGCCCGGCGGAAGGGUAAAAAUAACCUCUGAGUAUUGAUGAAAUCUCUGUCUGAACCGAAUGGAAAGAAAAAUGUUAAAACUUUCAGCAGCGGAUCUCUUGGUUCUCGCAUCGAUGAAAACGCAGC
rnacentral:misc_RNA from 1 species